rnacentral:rRNA from 1 species
UACAGAGGUGGCAAGCGUUGUUCGGAAUUACUGGGCGUAAAGGGCGCGUAGGCGGUUCGUUAAGUCCUGUGUGAAAUCCCCGGCUCAACUGGGGAACUGCACAGGAAACUAGCGGGCUUGAGUUCGGGAGAGGGAAGCGGAAUUCCGGGUGUAGCGGUGAAAUGCGUAGAUAUCAGGAGGAACACCGGUGGCGAAGGCGCACAUCUGGCCCGAUACUGACGCUGAGGCGCGAAAGCUAGGGGAGCAAACGGG